AUAACCUGUCCCCCCUCCUCGGAGGUUGUCGAUGGUGAAACGUAUACUUGGAGGGGAGAGAGAGAAAAAAAAAGAUGUCGCCCGCUGGUAAAGCUGACGGUAUUUGACACAUGGAGAGAGUUCAAGACUGGCAUGUUCCAUCGAGGAAGAAAGAUGAGGAUGGCAAGGUGAUGCCAAAUUGCAGAGUUAGGGGGAGGAGAGCGGUCACCAGUGAAAAGGACUGUGACAAAUUACCAGGGGACAUUUUAUAAACUUGCAGAAUGGACAAAUAAAUGACUGGGAAGAUCGAGGCCACCUCUGUAAAAUAUCAUCACUGCGACAACGGGCAGAAUGAGGACCUCACUCCCACAGGGAGAGUUGGAUUGACCAGUUCGGGGGAAACUAAACAACUGUGUGAGGGAAAAGGAAAUUUGAGCACGUGUACUGAUGGUAAAUUUACAAAAUAAAAGGCUUGAGUAAAUCACAAACACCAGCAUGGACUGGCCUGUUUCUGAGUUUCAUAUACCACAUCAACUUACCAGGAAGUCGCCAGUAACCUCAGGCUGAUAGACAUUGUUGAAAGCACAUCUGCUAUGGUUACAGGAGCUAAAGUUAAAGAUGGAGUCGACAAACUCAUAACAUUGAUCUGUCUGUGAGGAGCCACUGAAGGUUAUGGUUUUCUCUGGUGAGUAAUCUUGAGGUUUCUCACUCGCGGUGCAUGAGCUAUUGUAUAUAAAAUUCAGUGGAUGAGAGACAGUAUAGCCCCGUGGCAUGCAGGGGUUAGUAAUAUUG